rnacentral:rRNA from 1 species
CCUACGGGCGGCUGCAGUGGGGAAUAUUGCACAAUGGGCGCAAGCCUGAUGCAGCCAUGCCGCGUGUGUGAAGAAGGCCUUCGGGUUGUAAAGCACUUUCAGCGGGGAGGAAGGCGGUGAGGUUAAUAACCUCAUCGAUUGACGUUACCCGCAGAAGAAGCACCGGCUAACUCCAUGCCAGCAGCCGCGGUAAUACGGAGGGUGCAAGCGUUAAUCGGAAUUACUGGGCGUAAAGCGCACGCAGGCGGUCUGUCAAGUCGGAUGUGAAAUCCCCGGGCUCAACCUGGGAACUGCAUUCGAAACUGGCAGGCUAGAGUCUUGUAGAGGGGGGUAGAAUUCCAGGUGUAGCGGUGAAAUGCGUAGAUAUCUGGAGGAAUACCGGUGGCGAAGGCGGCCCCCUGGACAAAGACUGACGCUCAGGUGCGAAAGCGUGGGGAGCAAACAGGAUUAGAUACCCGAGUAGUC